rnacentral:tRNA from 2 species
GUAGAUAUAGUUUAACUAAAACAUUAGAUUGUGAUUCUAAAAACAGAGGUUAAAAUCCCCUUAUCCACC